UGCAUUUCCAAGCGUUAUCUCCUGCCAUUUUUUAUUUGUUUGUUUGAGACAGGGUCUCACUCUGUCGCCCAGGCUGGAGUGCAGUGGCGCAAUCUCAGCUCACUGCAGCCUUGACUUCCUGGGCUCAAGCGAUCCUCCCACCUCAGCUUCCCGAGUAGCUGGGACUACAGGCAUGUGCCACCAUGCCUGGCAAAUUUUUUUAUUUUUUGUAGAGAUGGGGUUUCGCUAUGUUGCCCAGGCUGGUCUCCAACUCCCGGGCUCAAACGAUCUGUCUGCCUUGGCCUCCGAAAGUGCUGGUUUUACAGGCAUGAGCCACCGCGCCUAGCCUCUCCUGCGGUUUUGAUGCAUAUUUUCCAAACAUUGUGAUGCACCUUUAUAGCUGUUCGUGUAUGCGCCUUUUAAACGUGGCAUGCUGCAUACCCUUUUCGAGCAGCCUGUUUCCGCACAUUCUUUUCAAGUCAUUAAACUAUUCCUUGACGUCCUUUCUCAAGGCUGUCCGUGGCCCCUAUUGUUGAGUAUGUGGAUUACUUCUGGUUUUUAAACUUUUCUAGGCAAUGCUCUCCGAAUGCCUUUGUAGUCGAGUAUUCGGGAACAGCCAUGAGUAUUCACUCCAGACAGGACUCACUAUGUCCAGGGCAGGCCGUUUGAUAAGCUUUUGGCAGGAGUGGCCCAGCUGUCCCUGUCCCCUGAUGGGUUUGACACUGGCACAUUUUCAGCGUGGCAGAGGCCCCCUUGAGAGUGUCUCCUCUAGACCCAGAGGGCACCCAAGCAAUGAGGACAGAGGCCAGGCUCACCAUCUGGGGUGGAAAAGACCGAGUCGUUCCUGUGUCCCCGUGAAUGCACCAGAUGCCCUCUGAGCUGCGUCCUAGGCCGGGUCCUGUGCAGGUUUAGAAGAGAGAGACCAGCUGCUUCUGGAGCCCUGAACAAGCCAAGUGGUGCCUGUGCCCAUCAGAGGAAGCUGCCUGUUCCUCACGGUGCCCUACUGCCAUCUCCUACGCAUCAGGUUACUUUGCAGAUGGUGCCUUGGCGCUGUGCCUUAGCAGCCAGGUACUAUGGCUGGUGCCCCUGCCCUUGUAGGCCUUGGGGGUCACCACCAAAGGAGGAAGCACCGCCCCAGCAGAACACAGCCCAUCCGGCUCCUGGGCGCUGGAAGAGAGGGGCUGCAGCCCGGGAGGGCCAACGACGGAAGGGAGCAGUGGGCGUGGCCAGGUCCAGGAGGGGCCCGCAAAGGGCAGUCAGGCCCAGCAGGGAUUGAGAAACGCCUGUGUUGAUCCCACUCCCCAUGUCAUGCCAGCCCUCACUGAACAGCUCCGUUGUUCUGAGCACGGGCUCUGGAGCAAGACAGGCCUGGGUCCAAUUCCUGGCCCCACCCUGGGCAGGUUACUCAUCACCCUGAACCUCAGCUCCCUCACCUGGGAGGUAGAAUCUCCUUCCCGGAGUUGUGAGAAUUAAUGAUGGCAUCGUUAGGUGCACAGCAUGGUCUGGCACAUGGCACUGUGAACAUGUCAGCUACGCCUGUUGUCACCGUGGCUGUUAUCAGCAUUGUUUGUUCACUGCUGUAUUCCCAGCACCUAGAACAGUACUCAACGAAGAGUUAUCGAAUGGCAGAAUAAAAGAAUCACAUUCAGGCAUGAGCCACCGCGCCUGGCAACCAUCAUUGUUAUUACAGGUUUUAUUACCAUUUUGUGACUAACAUUGCC
rnacentral:lncRNA from 1 species